UAAUCGCGGAUCAGCAUGCCGCGGUGAAUACGUUCCCGGGCCUUGUACACACCGCCCGUCACACCAUGAGAGUUUGUAACACCCAAAGCCGGUGGGGUAACCUUUUGGAGCCAGCCGUCUAAGGUGGGACAGAUGAUUGGGGUGAAGUCGUAACAAGGUAGC
rnacentral:rRNA from 1 species